UACAGAGGUCUCAACCGUUGUUCGGAUUCAUUGGGCGUAAAGGGUGCGUAGGCGGUCGUGCAAGUCGGAUGUGAAAUCUCAGGGCUCAACCCUGAAACUGCAUUCGAUACUGCGCGGCUAGAGUUCGGUAGGGGAGACUGGAAUUCCUGGUGUAGCGGUGAAAUGCGCAGAUAUCAGGAGGAACACCGAUGGCGAAGGCAGGUCUCUGGGCCGAUACUGACGCUGAGGAGCGAAAGCGUGGGGAGCGAACAGG
rnacentral:rRNA from 1 species